rnacentral:rRNA from 1 species
GCCCUUACUGCUCAGUAACACGUGGACAACCUACCCUCCGGACGGGUAUAAACCCGGGAAACUGGGUAUAAUCCCCGAUAGAUCUCGGUCGCUGGAAAGCCCCGAGAUCGAAAGCUCCGGCGCCAGAGGAUGGGUCUGCGGCCUAUCAGGUAGUAGUGGGUGUAGCGUACCUACUAGCCUACGACGGGUACGGGUUGUGAGAGCAAGAGCCCGGAGAUGGAUUCUGAGACACGAAUCCAGGCCCUACGGGGUGCAGCAGGCGCGAAAACUUUACAAUGCCGGCAACGGCGAUAAGGGGACCUCGAGUGCCAGGUUACAAAUCUGGCUGUCGUGAUGCCUAAAAAGCAUUGCAUAGCAAGGGCCGGGCAAGACCGGUGCCAGCCGCCGCGGUAACACCGGCGGCUCGAGUGGUAACCGUUAUUAUUGGGUCUAAAGGGUCUGUAGCCGGCCGGAUAAGUCUCUUGAGAAAUCCAGCAGCUCAACUGUUGGGCUUUCAGGAGAUACUGUCUGGCUCGAGGCCGGGAGAGGUGAGAGGUACUUCAGGGGUAGGGGUGAAAUCUUGUAAUCCUUGAAGGACCACCAGUGGCGAAGGCGUCUCACCAGAACGGACCUGACGGCAAGGGACGAAAGCUAGGGGCACGAACCGGAUUAGAUACCCGGGUAGUCCUAGCCGUAAACGAUACUCGCUAGGUGUCGGCCACGGUGCGACCGUUGUCGGUGCCGUAGGGAAGCCGUGAAGCGAGCCACCUGGGAAGUACGGCCGCAAGGCUGAAACUUAAAGGAAUUGGCGGGGGAGCACAA